UCCAUAGUAACCGGAAGUGACGCGAGGUGUGUGCUGGUGUCUAUGGAAACCGACUGACGUGAGUAUGGUCAGGACGGAUAUCCUGUAACACCUCCAGCUGAGCGGAAGCGGCCUGCGGGGAGCGGGGGACGCCCGGUCCCGGUGCUGCACUCAUCAUAUAAAGGCAUCUUCCGGACCAGGAAGAGUGAAUACUUACUGAAGAUACUGCCCAGGGAGGAUCAUUUUUUUCAUAUGUUCACCAUUAUAAAGAAACCGUCAUAUAGGCAUCUUCUGGAUGAUGUGAUCUCCUACAUGAAUAGUGAAUAUCGACUGAAGACGCUGUCUGCAUUAGAGGACACAUUGCUUCAGAGGUUCCACAUUGUGAGAAACCAUCAAUUAGAUCCAAAACCAAAACACGAAAAGUGCCCACCGCACAUCUCUAAUACAGAGCCAAUGAUACAUGGGCGACCCAGGCUGGGUCUUUGAAAAAGCUGUCUAAGGACAGCGAAACGCAUCAGUCCUGCUCCUCUUUGGUCUAAGGGACUCUGUGGACUCCGAUUCCAUUUACCAUCCAUUGGACGAUCUGGGUCACUUCUGGUCCAAACCACAAAGGUUAAAGGGUACUCCAUUAAUCGUGCUGUGAACCACUGUCAUCUUGGUGAAAUCCUGCAACAAAAGGCUCAACACGAGGAGGAUUCUUCCCUUCAUAAAUACCUUGGGACCGGUAACUAUUUAAAACACCUGGGACCAUUGUCACUGGUCCGUGACCACAUAUAUAUAUGGACUGUAGCCCACAGAACUGCAUAAAAAAGUCCCUGAUAUUUGACCUUGGAAAGAGGACACUAUAUGAAUGCUGCAUGUUAUAAUUUUCUAUGCUGUUUAAACAAUAACGCAUAUGCAAAUUUCUGUCUUGGAAUGUCUAAGUAACAAAACUUCAGGAGUUAACAAACAUCUUUUUAUCAAUUUUAAAAUAAAUGAGGGUUUUUAGAUUACCUUGUUGUUUAUAAUUCACUGUAUAAUUGAUCAGAGUUAGCACUGUUUAUUUUCUUUGUCUGUUUUGUGUAUGCAUUUUGGAGAGUGACUACCUCCAUAAAAACAGCUGAUAGGAAAAUCAACUCAGAGUAGCGCCUGUUUAGCUACAUUUCGAUAUAUCCUUUUUUGCUGGGCACUGAACAACCUACCUCAGGCACCGAGGAUCCGGGCAACCAGAGGUCCAUAUACUCGUGAACAAUUGCAGCAUGCCAUCCGGCUCCUGUUUAUCAAUUUUGGAAGAGACAGAUACACACAUUAUGGGAGCUACACUCUUGGAUCAUCAUUUGUGUUAUCCAACAUUAAGGACACUAUCUUAUUAUAUUUAUUAUCACUGUUCACUGUCCACCACAAAAUCCUCCUACAGUUGGAGAGUGGUCAUUUGUAUGACCGUCUGCUUUCUUUGUAGUAGCGCUAUUUUACCAAAAUAUACCAUGGUUUUAUUUCACCACCUAAAGAUAAAGAUUACCUCACCCAUUGGAAGUCUACCAAUUAAAUGAGCUCCUUGUGAAUUAUGCUUUCUAUUAAUUUUCCCUGAUGAAGUCCUUUUAAGGGCGAAACGCGUCGGAAUCAGAACUCUCUUCUUAAAGGACAACAA